rnacentral:rRNA from 1 species
CCUACGGGAGGCAGCAGUGAGGAAUAUUGGUCAAUGGGCGUAAGCCUGAACCAGCCAAGUCGCGUGCGGGAUGAAGGUUCUAUGGAUCGUAAACCUCUUUUAUAAGGGAAUAAAGUGCGUGACGUGUACCGUUUUGUAUGUACCUUAUGAAUAAGGAUCGGCUAACUCCGUGCCAGCAGCCGCGGUAAUACGGAGGGUCCGAGCGUUAUCCGGAUUUAUUGGGUUUAAAGGGUGCGUAGGCGGCCUGUUAAGUUAGCGGUGAAAUGCCGUGGCUCAACCAGAGAAUUGCAGUUGAAACUGGGAGGCUUGAGUAUGUGUGAAGCAGGCGGAAUGCGUGGUGUAGCGGUGAAAUGCUUAGAUAUGACGCAGAACCCCGAUUGCGAAGGCAGCCUGCCAAGCCAUGACUGACGCUGAUGCACGAAAGCGUGGGGAUCAAACAGGAUUAGAUACCCCAGUAGUC